AUUGAACGCUGGCGGCAGGCCUAACACAUGCAAGUCGAGCGGGUGACAGGAGCUUGCUCCUUGAUUCAGCGGCGGACGGGUGAGUAAUGCCUAGGAAUCUGCCUGGUAGUGGGGGAUAACGUUCCGAAAGGAACGCUAAUACCGCAUACGUCCUACGGGAGAAAGCAGGGGACCUUCGGGCCUUGCGCUAUUGGAUGAGCCUAGGUCGGAUUAGCUAGUUGGUGAGGUAAUGGCUCACCAAGGCGACGAUCCGUAACUGGUCUGAGAGGAUGAUCAGUCACACUGGAACUGAGACACGGUCCAGACUCCUACGGGAGGCAGCAGUGGGGAAUAUUGGACAAUGGGCGAAAGCCUGAUCCAGCCAUGCCGCGUGUGUGAAGAAGGUCUUCGGAUUGUAAAGCACUUUAAGUUGGGAGGAAGGGCAGUAAGUUAAUACCUUGCUGUUUUGACGUUACCAACAGAAUAAGCACCGGCUAACUUCGUGCCAGCCGCCGCCGUAAAAC
rnacentral:rRNA from 1 species